rnacentral:rRNA from 1 species
AACGAACGCUGGCGGCAUGCCUAACACAUGCAAGUCGAACGAGACCUUCGGGUCUAGUGGCGCACGGGUGCGUAACGCGUGGGAAUCUGCCCUUGGGUUCGGAAUAACUUCGGGAAACUGAAGCUAAUACCGGAUGAUGACGUAAGUCCAAAGAUUUAUCGCCCAAGGAUGAGCCCGCGUAGGAUUAGCUAGUUGGUGAGGUAAAGGCUCACCAAGGCGACGAUCCUUAGCUGGUCUGAGAGGAUGAUCAGCCACACUGGGACUGAGACACGGCCCAGACUCCUACGGGAGGCAGCAGUGGGGAAUAUUGGACAAUGGGCGAAAGCCUGAUCCAGCCAUGCCGCGUGUGUGAAGAAGGUCUUCGGAUUGUAAAGCACUUUAAGUUGGGAGGAAGGGCAGUAACCUAAUACGUUGCUACUUUGACGUUACCGACAGAAUAAGCACCGGCUAACUUCGUGCCAGCAGCCGCGGUAAGU